rnacentral:rRNA from 1 species
AACGAACGCUGGCGGCAGGCCUAACACAUGCAAGUCGAGCGAAGCCUUCGGGCUUAGCGGCGGACGGGUGAGUAACGCGUGGGAACGUGCCCUUUGGUACGGAAUAGCCCCGGGAAGCUGGGAGUAAUACCGUAUGUGGUCGAGAGACGAAAGAUUUAUCGCCAAAGGAUCGGCCCGCGUUGGAUUAGGUAGUUGGUGGGGUAAUGGCCUACCAAGCCGACGAUCCAUAGCUGGUUUGAGAGGAUGAUCAGCCACACUGGGACUGAGACACGGCCCAGACUCCUACGGGAGGCAGCAGUGGGGAAUCUUGGACAAUGGGGGAAACCCUGAUCUAGCCAUGCCGCGUGAUCGAUGAAGGCCUUAGGGUUGUAAAGAUCUUUCAGUGGGGAAGAUAAUGACUGUACCCACAGAAGAAGCCCCGGCUAACUCCGUGCCAGCAGCCGCCGUAAUAC